rnacentral:rRNA from 1 species
CCUACGGGAGGCAGCAGUGGGGAAUAUUGGACAAUGGGCGAAAGCCUGAUCCAGCAAUGCCGCGUGAGUGAUGAAGGCCUUAGGGUUGUAAAGCUCUUUUACCCGGGAUGAUAAUGACAGUACCGGGAGAAUAAGCCCCGGCUAACUCCGUGCCAGCAGCCGCGGUAAUACGGAGGGGGCUAGCGUUGUUCGGAAUUACUGGGCGUAAAGCGCACGUAGGCGGCUUUGUAAGUUAGAGGUGAAAGCCUGGAGCUUAACUCAAGAACGGCCUUUAAGACGGCACGGCUGGAAUCCAGGAGAGGGGAGUGGAAUUCCGAGUGUAGAGGUAAAAUUCGUAGAUAUUCGGAGGAACACC